rnacentral:lncRNA from 1 species
UCACAGAAUAAUUCAUAUUAAUUAUGAAAAUAAAAAUAAUUCAUAUCAAUCACAAAAAUAAAACUCAUUCUCCGAAAUAUAUUUAUGUUGCACGUUCUUUAUAUCAAACGUAGGCAUGCAAAAAUAAGACACUAGCGAAAACUCUCAAUUAUGAUUUUCUUUCAUUGUAACUUGAAAUAAUAUAUCGUAUGAGCUAGCUUCCAAAAUUUCAAUCCUUGAACUUUUGGCAAAAAUUAUUUUUCAUUUAUCAUAAAAUUUUUAAUUUCAUCUCCAUCAAGAAGAUGAUGAUAAGGGAAAAUCAUAAUAUUUUUUAAUCUCAUAAUCUAACACACGAUGGUGAAUAAAAUAAUAAUUUUUGUGCAUCUCUUCAGGAGCACAUCCUUAAAAAUUUUUAAUCAUAAUGCAAUCUUUCGGGCAUGCUUUCUAAAUUUUCUUUCAUUUGAAACCCACGCUUCAAAGUGAAAUUCAAUAUUUUCAAAUCAAUAUGACAUUUCUAUAAUAUUAAUCAUAAUGAAAUAGCGUAAAAUUUAGUUGCAAAAGAUAUUAGGAAAUUACCUUCACCUUAAAUUCCAUGAACAUUCAUGUUGUAUCACUAAAAAUUAAUAAUCGAAUAGGUGAAAGUAUACCAUAUGGUAGACUUAUUGUUAUUUUCUGCCCUAAAACCAUGCAAUAAAUAACAAUUUCUAAAUUUCAUAAAAUUUAUUUAUUCAUUGUUUGAGCAUACAUUAUUAGUCCUUAUUUACAAAGUAUAUGAUUUAUGAAUUGGGCAUAUGAUGUCAAUACUAGAAGAUAUAAAUCAUAGGUUUCUAAAUAAAAUAGUGUUCACAACUGUUAAUAAAAUGGGCAAUUCAUUAUGUAAGGUUAUAACUUUCCUACUUCUAUCAUGAGUGAUUUUAUCUUGAUCACUGAAGUAGAGACUUUGAGUACAAUAGUUAAUAUGUAUAUGUGAUUUGCAUAUUGAACUAGACUAUAGUGAAUUAUGAUCUACUUUAACAAAUUUUGUGGAUCAUAAUUCACUUAAGAUUUAACAAGUUUAAUUGACCUUAAUCCUAAGUGGGUAUUGAA